rnacentral:rRNA from 1 species
AACGAACGCUGGCGGCAUGCCUAACACAUGCAAGUCGAACGAGACCUUCGGGUCUAGUGGCGCACGGGUGCGUAACGCGUGGGAACCUGCCUUUAGGUUCGGAAUAACUCAGAGAAAUUUGAGCUAAUACCGGAUGAUGUCUUCGGACCAAAGAUUUAUCGCCUUUAGAUGGGCCCGCGUUGGAUUAGCUAGUUGGUGGGGUAAAGGCCUACCAAGGCGACGAUCCAUAGCUGGUCUGAGAGGAUGAUCAGCCACACUGGGACUGAGACACGGCCCAGACUCCUACGGGAGGCAGCAGUGGGGAAUAUUGGACAAUGGGCGAAAGCCUGAUCCAGCAAUGCCGCGUGAGUGAUGAAGGCCUUAGGGUUGUAAAGCUCUUUUACCCGUAGAUGAUAAUGACAGUAUCGGGAGAAUAAGCUCCGGCUAACUCCGUG